GAUGAACGCUGGCGGCGUGCCUAAUACAUGCAAGUCGAGCGAACGGACGAGAAGCUUGCUUCUCUGAUGUUAGCGGCGGACGGGUGAGUAACACGUGGAUAACCUACCUAUAAGACUGGGAUAACUUCGGGAAACCGGAGCUAAUACCGGAUAAUAUUUUGAACCGCAUGGUUCAAAAGUGAAAGACGGUCUUGCUGUCACUUAUAGAUGGAUCCGCGCUGCAUUAGCUAGUUGGUAAGGUAACGGCUUACCAAGGCAACGAUGCAUAGCCGACCUGAGAGGGGGAUCGCCCACACGGGAACUGAGACCCGGUCCAGACUCCUACGGGAGGCAGAAGGAGGGAAUCUUCCGAAAGGGGCGAAAGCCUGACGGAGCAACGCCGAGGGAGUGAUGAAGGUUUUCGGAUCUUAAAACUUUGUUAUGAGGGAAGAACAUAUGUGUAAGUAACUGUGCACAUCUUGACGGUACCUAAGCAGAAAGCCAGGGCUAACUACGUG
rnacentral:rRNA from 1 species